rfam:Cavia porcellus supercont2_28 genomic scaffold, whole genome shotgun sequence.
GGGGAUUUAGCUAAGUGGCAGAAGCACCUGCCUUGCAAGCACACAGUCAUGAGUUCAAUCCCCG